AAAUUCCCAUAGCAAACUGCUCAGUAACACAUGAUCAACUUGCCCUAUAGAGAAAAAUAACCUCGGGAAACUGAGGAUAAUAUUUCAUAGCUGAAUUGGCUUGGAAAAGUUUUUCAGUAAAAGGGAUAAAAAAAAUGGUUUUUAUCUGCUAUAGGAUAGGAUCGUGUUCGAUUAUGGUUGUUGGUGAGGUAAUGGCUCACCAAGCCGAUAAUCGAUAGGGGCCGUGAGAGCGGGAGCCCCGAGAUGGGUACUGAGACAACGACCCAGGCCUUACGAGGCGCAGCAGGCGCGAAACCUCCGCAAUACACGAAAGUGUGACGGGGUUACCCAAAGUGUUCAAAUUGAACUGUGGUAGGUGAGUAAUGUUCCCUACUAGAAAGGAGAGGGCAAGGCUGGUGCCAGCCGCCGCGGUAAAACCAGCUCUUCAAGUGGUCGGGAUAAUUAUUGGGCUUAAAGUGUCCGUAGCCGGUUUGGUAAGUUCCUGGUAAAAUCAGGUAGCUUAACUAUCUAUAUGCUAGGAAUACUGCUAUACUAGAGGGCGGGAGAGGUCUGAGGUACUACAGGGGUAGGGGUGAAAUCUUAUAAUCCUUGUAGGACCACCAGUGGCGAAGGCGUCAGACUGGAACGCGCCUGACGGUGAGGGACGAAAGCCAGGGGAGCGAACCGGAUUAGAUACCCGGGUAGUCCUGGCCGUAAACGAUGCAUACUAGGUGAUGGCACGGCCAUGAGCCGUGUCAGUGCCGUAGGGAAACCGUUAAGUGUGCCGCCUGGGAAGUACGGUCGCAAGGCUAAAACUUAA
rnacentral:rRNA from 1 species